CCGGAGUGCAAUGGUGCAAUCUCGGCUCACUGCAACCUCCGCCUCCUGGGUUCAAGCCAUUCUCCUGCCUCAGCCUCCCGAGUAGCUGGGAUUACAGGUGCCCGCCAACACACCCGGCUAAUUUUUUUUGUAUUUUUAGUAGAGACGGGGUUUCACCGUGUUAGCCAGUAUGGUCUCAAUCUCCUGACCUUGUGAUCCGCUCAUCUCAGCCUCCCAAAGUGCUGGGAUUACAGGCAUAAGCCACCCCGCCCGGUGGGACCAUCUUUUGCUACUUCAGACAUGGACCUAUGUCUCAGCCUAGAAGUGUGGAAGAAUGAACCUGGAUCGUUGAGUAGAAGGCACAUCACGCAAAACACUGAAACUGCCUUUGCAAAAAUCAGGGUAGUGAGAGAAGGUCUUGCAUGACUGACUCCAUCUUGCCUCAAGCCUCACAAGCCAGCUAUCUUCACUCAUUCCUGAGCACAGGCCAAGCUAACCAUGGGAGGAAUUUAUAGUUUAACUUAGAGCAAGGAUGACAAUAGUCCCUUCCUAAAACUAAUUCCUCCUUGCUCAGGGACCAAAAACUAAUGAAAGGCCUCAAGAUGAGGAUCAUGGGAGGAGUCUGAAUUCUGCUAAAAUGUAGGCAGUUUCUAUCAUCCUUACUACUCAGGAGUCAUGUGGCCAGAGGUCACAAGAUUUGAGCCUUCCCCAGUUGCUCCUAUGGAUAACAUCACUACUGUAGAACCUAAGAUUGGUCUCUUGAGAUGUUUUUCAGACCUCUGCAUUCUGGCAAUCAACUGACCUCACCUGGAAUCACGAGUCAUGACUGAACCGGUCCUGUGGCCCCACCUGGGGAUAAACUCAGCACACAAGGAUCAUUUUCCACACCUCUAUGAUUUCAUAGGCAACCAAUCAACGGCACCCAUUUUUUAGCCUCCUGCUCGCCAAAGCAUCUUUGAAAAAUCCUAACCUCCAAGCCUUCGGGGAGACUGAUUUGAGUAAUAACUCUGUUCCCUGCAUGGCUGGUCUAGUGUCAAUUAAACUCUUUCUUUACUGCCAUACCAUAGUCUCAGCGAAUUGGUUUUGUCUGUGCAAUGGGCAGGAAGAACGUGUCUGGUGAGCAUCUCCACACAUUCAGAAAUUGUCCAUCUAAGACAAUGGAGUUAUUUUCACCCUCAACAAAUGCCUCAACUCUGUGACAUUUUAAGCAAAUCUUAACUUUGACUUAUGAAUUCAAGAAGGAAAAAAAAAAAGUAAGAAAAUGUUGAUUGUAAUAUUUCCUCUGAACGUCCUUCCCCUGGGGACAGGCUCCCUUGCUGUUGUGUGGUCACUGUUCCCAUUAACCUAACGAAAUCUACACUUGCAAAUGAAGUCCUGGGGUCCACACUAAAUGUUCACAGUCUGGCCACAUGCUAAUAUUCCAUGUGCUAGCCCAUAUCUUUAAAUAGACUCAUGGAAAUGUGUUAAAUGAUAUAACAGAAUAAAAAUCAAGCUUAACUUAAAGAUGAGUCUUUUUUUUUCUAUAUGAGGAAAUAAAGCAACUGAACAUUUCUUUGCACUUUAUGUUAAAUUAAAUGCUAACAUGUACAGAAAAAAGAAAAAAUGCACUCUGAUGAUGAAGGGACUGAGUCAAAUUCACAACCAGGG
rnacentral:lncRNA from 1 species